UAGAAACCAACCUGGCUCACGCCGGUUUGAACUCAAAUCAUGUAAUCUUUUAAAGGUCGAACAGACCUAAAAUUCUAUCUUCUGCCCCAGAAUUCUAGAUUAAUUCAACAUCGAGUUCACAAUCAAAUUUAUAUAUUUGAGAGCGGAAGAACA